UACGGAGGGUGCAAGCGUUAUCCGGAUUCACUGGGUUUAAAGGGUGCGUAGGUGGGGAGGUAAGUCAGCGGUGAAAUCCCCGAGCUUAACUUGGGAACUGCCAUUGAUACUAUCUCUCUUGAAUACCUUGGAGGUGAGCGGAAUAUGUCAUGUAGCGGUGAAAUGCUUAGAUAUGACAUAGAACACCAAUUGCGAAGGCAGCUCACUACACGGUCAUUGACACUGAGGCACGAAAGCGUGGGGAGCAAACAGG
rnacentral:rRNA from 1 species